UCGGGAAUUUUGGGCAAUGGGCGAAAGCCUGACCCAGCAACGCCGCGUGAGGGAUGAAGUAUUUCGGUAUGUAAACCUCGAAAGAAUGGGAAGAAUAAAUGACGGUACCAUUUAUAAGCUCCGGCUAACUACGUGCCAGCAGCCGCGGUAAUACGUAGGGAGCAAGCGUUGUUCGGAUUUACUGGGCGUAAAGGGCGCGUAGGCGGCGCGGUAAGUCACUUGUGAAAUCUCUGAGCUUAACUCAGAACGGCCAAGUGAUACUGCUGUGCUAGAGUGCGGAAGAGGCAACCGGAAUUCUUGGUGUAGCGGUGAAAUGCGUAGAUAUCAAGAGGAACACCGAGGCGAAGGCGGGUUGCUGGGCCGACACUGACGCUGAUGCGCGAAAGCCAGGGGAGCAAACG
rnacentral:rRNA from 1 species